ACAUUUUCAAGAUGCAACUCUUGAACCAGUGUAUUCAUGGUUCCUCUCUCCUCACAAUGUCAGAUCUAUUUUCUGUCAUGUCCUCGAUGUGUUUUGAGAAGUGAACUGUCUUUUUCCAUGCAAAUAGUAACACAUGCUGCUAACAAGAUAUCAUCUUCAAUCUCUUCGAUCUGCUAUGAUGUCAACAAACAAGGAAGCAGUGGAAGAGAAAGGAAGUUUAAAUUAAUUGGUCAAUUAUAAACAUCACUAUAUUUCAUUUGUGCAUGUCUACAAGCUCUCUACAAUGUGACGACAUUAGAUC
rnacentral:lncRNA from 1 species